GCGCGGUUAGUUCAGUGGUUAGAAUUUUCGCUUCCCAUCCCAGCGAAGGACCCGAGUUCGAAUCUCGGAUCGCGCA